UACGAAGGGUGCAAGCGUUAAUCGGAAUUACUGGGCGUAAAGGGUGCGUAGGCGGUUCGUUAAGUCUGUCGUGAAAUCCCCGGGCUCAACCUGGGAAUGGCGAUGGAUACUGGCGAGCUAGAGUGUGUCAGAGGAUGGUGGAAUUCCCGGUGUAGCGGUGAAAUGCGUAGAGAUCGGGAGGAACAUCAGUGGCGAAGGCGGCCAUCUGGGACAACACUGACGCUGAAGCACGAAAGCGUGGGGAGCAAACAAG
rnacentral:rRNA from 1 species